rnacentral:misc_RNA from 1 species
AAUUCUCAACUCCCUUUGAUUUCUUCAAAGGCGAGCUUGGAUUGUGGAGGCUUGCCGGCUGCAAAGUCGGCUCCUCUGAAAUGCAUUGGCAAAGGCGUAUGCAUAAUAACGGCUUUCGAUGUGAUAAUGAUCAUCGUAGCUGGAAUGCUUCACAAGUCUAUGCCCAACCUGCUUUCCAUUCAUUUGGAAAACACUUUGACCA